CCCAGGCUGUGUGCAGCUGAUCACAGACUGUGCACGAGACCCCAGGCUGUGUGCAGCUGACCACAGACUGUG
ensembl:miRNA